rnacentral:tRNA from 2 species
UUACUGGUAGGUUAUUUAAACUGACAAAUUGUGGUUUUGUUGAUUACGUCUUUUUUCUUUGUAUC